rnacentral:lncRNA from 1 species
CUGCUAUACAGUAACCCCUACAUAUGAAUGAGUUCCAUUCUAAAAGCGUGUUCGUAAGUCCAGUUUGUUCAUACGUCCAACAAAGUUAGUCUAGGUACGCAACUAACACAAUCAGCUACAUAUUGUAGAACUGUACUAUAAUAGGUUUAUAAUACUUUUCACACAAAUAAUACAUAAAAAUAGCAAAAACUAAAGAAAGCAUUUUUAGUCUUACAGAACAGUACUUUGAAAAGUACAGUAGUACAGUACAACAGCUGGCACUCAGGGACUGGCAUCAAGUGAACAAGCAAGAAGAGGAGGAGGGAGAUGCGGUGGGGUACGGGAGAGCUGAAGGACCGUCAGCAAUAGGAGACGGAGGGCAAGUGCCUGUCACUCACACCUGACGCUGAUGGAACACACGUUUGAAUCUGAAAGCUCACAACUUGAAGGUGGCCCUGGAAAUACUCCUCCCUGCACUGGAUUACUAAUGGAAAGGAGGAAACACCACACACCAGUGGAGACAGCACCCUUGUCAAAUACAUUGGCCCCCUUUCCAGCUCUCCCUGCCCAGCUGGUAAUUGGAUACACUCACAGAAUCCUGUUCAGCAGCAGUUUAGGAUGCGGGACGCCUCUUUCCUCCCAGAAGCGGGGACCUGCACUCACCCCUUGGGGAUUGCUUCAGUGGCUUAAAGAAAAGUUGUCCUUGUAUCCUACCCGUCUGCCUGUUCUGCAGAGCCUGCGUGGGACUUGGUGCCAUAUCCCUGGGCUUCAAAACCUCGGAAGCUGGCGGAAACUGGCUAAAACCAGAGGCAGGAUGUUUCCCCCAAACCCGGCCCCCAGCCUGGAGAGAACCUACUUUUCCCACUCAGCACCUCUAGCUUGGGAGCUUAUAAAGGGCUAAUGAAGAAGCUCUAUAGGCCAACAUACCUUGGUUCUGUUUCCAGCGCCCUCACUAAAGGGCUGCUUGGUGACCUCAGGCAAAUUACUUACCUACUCUGAUCCUUAGUUGCUUCGUCUAAAAACGGAUGGAAUUGGACCAAGUGACUAUUAAUACUAAGGUCUUUUUCAGCUCUGAUGGUCAAAGAUGCUAAUGUUCUAUUUCCUGAGGAUAUAAAAAUAUAACACAAUUUUUUCCUUUAGGAAAAUUAUAUACUUAGAGGGAAGAAGACUAACAAGUAGAAAACAUACCUCAGGCUUGUUUCUCAUAUGGCAAAACAAAACCUAAUACAGAGUGUAUUUAAAAGAUGCAGUGCUUAUUAAAAGUUCUCCAAGUGCAAGGCAUUUAAAGCACUUGACUAGGAAUGGAUAUGGAGAAGGCAAUGGCACCCCACUCCAGUACUCUUGCCUGGAAAAUCCCAUGGACGGAGGAGCCUGGUGGGCUGCAGUCCAUGGGGUCGCUAGGAGUUGGACACGACUGAGCGACUUCACUUUGACUUUUCACUUUCAUGCACUGGAGGAGAAAAUGGCAACCCACUCCAGUGUUCUUUUGCCUGGAGAAUCCCAUGGACAGAGGAGCCUGGUGGACUGCCAUCUAUGGGGUCGCACACAGUCGGACACGACUGAAGCGACUUAACAGCAGCAGCAGUAGCAGGAAUGGAUAACAACAGUCAAAUAAAGGAAUGAACAGUCUGCUGUUUCUAAAGACU